rnacentral:rRNA from 1 species
AGUGAACGCUGGCGGUAGGCCUAACACAUGCAAGUCGAACGGCAGCACAGUAAGAGCUUGCUCUUACGGGUGGCGAGUGGCGGACGGGUGAGGAAUACAUCGGUAUCUACUUUUUCGUGGGGGAUAACGUAGGGAAACUUACGCUAAUACCGCAUACGACUUACGGGUGAAAGCAGGGGAUCUUCGGACCUUGCGCGAUUGAAUGAGCCGAUGUCGGAUUAGCUAGUUGGCGGGGUAAAGGCCCACCAAGGCGACGAUCCGUAGCUGGUCUGAGAGGAUGAUCAGCCACACUGGAACUGAGACACGGUCCAGACUCCUACGGGAGGCAGCAGUGGGGAAUAUUGGACAAUGGGCGCAAGCCUGAUCCAGCCAUACCGCGUGGGUGAAGAAGGCCUUCGGGUUGUAAAGCCCUUUUGUUGGGAAAGAAAAGCAGCAGGUUAAUACCCCGCUGUUCUGACGGUACCCAAAGAAUAAGCACCGGCUAACUUCGUG